rnacentral:rRNA from 1 species
UACGUAGGGGGCUAGCGUUGUCCGGAUUUAUUGGGCGUAAAGGGUGCGUAGGUGGUGAGGUAAGUCGGAUGUGAAAGCUCCAAGCUCAACUUGGAAAUGGCAUUGGAAACUACCUUGCUAGAGGGUUUGAGGGGGGACUGGAAUACUUGGUGUAGCAGUGAAAUGCGUAGAUAUCAAGUGGAACACCAGUGGCGAAGGCGAGUCCCUGGAAAACUCCUGACACUGAGGCACGAAAGCUAGGGGAGCAAACAGG